AUCCAAUUGACGAGUCCUAAAUAGGACGAAACGCGCAUCAAACUGGAU
rnacentral:hammerhead_ribozyme from 1 species